rnacentral:rRNA from 1 species
UACGGAGGGUGCAAGCGUUGCUCGGAAUUAUUGGGCGUAAAGGGCAGGUAGGUGGUCUCGUUUGUCUGGGGUGAAAGCCUUGAGCUUAACUCAAGAAGUGCCCCAGAAACGGCGAGACUAGAGUUCUGGAGAGGGUCGUGGAAUUCCCGGUGUAGCGGUGAAAUGCGUAGAGAUCGGGAGGAACACCAGAGGCGAAGGCGGCGACCUGGACAGAUACUGACACUCAACUGCGAAAGCGUGGGGGAGCAAACAGG